UCCACCAGUCAUUAUUAAACUUCUGUACAAGAUGGCAGUUUAAUGUUAUAGCUUAAAACACACACUUUUAGUGAUUCAUUUUUAUUUAUUCAAGUGUAACACCUCUCACCUCUUUGAUAUGUAGGAAGUCUUUGGCUUCAAAGGAAACCCCGUGACCUGGUAUGGGGACGUUGUCGUCAUCCGCCGGAGCGGCGAUGCUAAUGGUCUAAUCAGAUUCAAUGGAUUGUGCUAAGCUAUGCUAAAGUGGUACCACCAGACCCGGAGAUCGGCUAAAUGGAUUCAGAAAAGCUUCUUACAGAGGGGUGUGUGCUGUGUAAAGCCAUGCACACUAAUACACCGCUCAGAAAGGCAAAACUAUACAUGCACGCAGUGAUGGAGUUUCAGGCUCAGCAUCUCUCCUGGUUCAUCUCUUCAGGCUUACACAUAUACAAACACAGCCAGCUCGAAGACAAACAUCUGUCUGACCUUAUCAUCGUGCCAGAACUGAUCAGCCUUUCACUGUGAGACUGGAAACUUUGACCACUUUGGUCCUCUAAUCAGAACUUAAUAAGAAGUUAGGAAAUUCAAAAUAAGAGCAUCACUGAGCUUAAUAAUAAGUAUUAAACUUGGUCCAAUACUAAUCAUAAAAAUGUAACUUUUCUUGUAUUAUUAUUAUUUUUUUAAUUAUAUGUUGUUUUUUGUUGGAUGUCUCAUUUGUUUUUCUGCAAGAGUUUAUUGUUUAGUCAAGCUAUGAUAUGCUUCUAUAAACCUCAAACCACUUUGGCAAGAUCCCUGUGCUGAUAAAGUCAAGCUUAAUUGCACAACAGCUUAUAUUGUAUGGUGUGCUGACUGUGCUCCCAUCAUUAAAUCAUUUAUAAGGUGCAAAUAAAAUGGCCCUAUAUAAACAAA